AUUGAACGCUGGCGGCAUGCCUAACACAUGCAAGUCGAACGAGUGGCGGACGGGUGAGUAAUGUCUGGGAAACUGCCUGAUGGCGGGGGAUAACUACUGGAAACGGUAGCUAAUACCGCAUACCAUCGGAUGUGCCCAUAUGGGAUUAGCUAGUUGGUGGGGUAACGGCUCACCAAGGCCACGAUCCCUAGCUGGUUGGAGAGGAUGACCAGCCACAAUGGAACUGAGACACGGUCCAGACUCCUACGGGAGGCAGCAGUGGGGAAUAUUGGACAAUGGGGGCAAGCCUGAUGCAGCCAUCCCGCGUGUAUGAAGAAGGCCUUCGGGUUGUAAAGUACUUUCAGCGGGGAAGCGUUAUCCGCAGAAGAAGCACCGGCUAACUCCGUGCCAGCAGCCGCGGUAAUAC
rnacentral:rRNA from 1 species